UUUUUUUCUAAUAGAUGCUAAUUUGGAAAUCGAUCUAUUUUUAUCUGAAGCUCUGCGCAGUAAGGACAGAGUUGUUACUUGAUACUGCUGGAAUAAGGCAAUAUGCCCUUUGUUUGGAAAGGUGUGUAUUUCCUUUCAUGGCUUACUUUAAAUCAUCACAAGUGAUACAACUCUUUCUAAUUAAAAACAUGGAAGACUUGAAGCAGCAUUUUUUUUUCCAGCUGUGGCAGUAAUUCAGAUGAACUAGUUGAAUAUCUACAUAUACCUUUGUUUUACUGCUCAAAUGGAGAGUGGGAAAGUAAUCAGAGUUUUAGCAAACAUUCUGUAGUCAUCUUCAAUAAACGUCUAGCUGAGCAAGAAGGCCUCUUACACAGCCUUGUUAGGUGUGCUUGGAAGAAGAGUGACGGUUUUAUCCUUCUAAGGUAAAGAUCCAGUUUUGUGACAUUUCCUGUUUCAGGUCUUGUCCAGGACGAUUUUAUUCCCUUCUAUCUUGUAAAAACCAUGACAGAUUUGGUUACAGAAACAAACCCUUACUAGUUUCAACAGGAUCAAACAAAGGCCAUCUAAACUGUAAUAACCCAAGACAAGUAUACUGGAUUUCAGAAUACAAUGAAGGCUUUUUUUUAAAGUAAAAAAAAAAAAAAAAAAAAAAAAAAAACUUUUGCUUUUACAGCCUCAAAGUUUACAGAUAUUCAGGUAUUUUCUGCCAAUUGGACUUUUCACUCAUUAAUUGUACCAAUUCCAGUUCCAGAUACCUUAAUUCUUUCACUAGUGACAGCUCAUGGCUAGCCUAUGGUAGUUUCCAAUAAAAUGCUAUUUCAAGAUAAGGGAAGGAGUAGCAUGCCAAAGAAGAAGGGUACCAAGUAAUCCUCGAGAGAACAGAUGCCAGAAAUGCUGGCACACUACGGGGUGUAGCUCUCAGUUCUUUUUCUUACCCAGAGACUCCAAACAAGCAGUAGCUCUUGAAGAAAGCAUAGCAUGGCUUUGAUAACAAGAAACCAGCACAUUCUGAAAUAAAGCCCUGGCCAGUUCCAAAUUCAGCACCUUUUUGAUAAGCCAGUGUGAGUUUUAACAAACUCUCCACUGUUUUCAAAUAGGUUUUAAGGUCUAAAAGUUUGAGUAUGUCCCCUCGAUGUUUUUGCACAGGGCGUGAUGCAGAUGAAGAGCAGGUCCCUAAAAAGGGGCCUACAAGAAAGCAGGAGAGGGGCUCUGCCGGGGAGCGUGGUGAUAGGACAGGGAGUAACGGUUUCAGACUAAAAGAGGGUAGGUUCAGAUUAGGAUAUUAGGAAGAAAUUCUUCACUCAGAGGGUGGUGAGGCACUGGAACAGGGUGGAAUUAGAUGGUCUCUAGGUCCCUUCCAACCCAAAGCAUUCUAUGGUUCUGUUUCUAUAAUCAAUAUACACACAGACACAUGCUUAAACACAACAUUGCAGGGCUUGGAGAGGUACUUCAUGAUGCGGCAAGAACAGGGUUGGUUUACAUUUCCUGGCCUUGUAUUCCCAAAGAUUAUAAUAUUGCACUUGCCUUUGGAGAAGGAUUCUACCUGAAAAGUUUCUUUACGGUGGCUAAUAGCUAGGCUGUAGUUGUGCUCUCUGCAGUACAGAAUACUCCAGAUGAACCAAAGGAUCCUGCACUGGGUGCUUGUUGUUGUUCCACAGGUGAUAUUUAGAAUGACAGAACAAACAUAUCCACGUAGAAUCCAAUAGCAGUUGAUGUAAUUGAUUUACUGCUCGGUUUAUAGAGGGAUCAACCUCUCAUCCUCCACCCAUUGUUGGCUGUGAGUCAGUGGCAUCUCCUUCAGCCAGCUGUAAGCAGCAAACACAUUGCAUCACAGGGAGUCUUGCAGUGUGUCAGACACACCUUGGUGGUAUGAUCACGCUGUAGGUUGCCAUCUAGUUAAAGCGUUAGUUUUAUGGCAGUGGUUUCUUGUUCUUUAUAUAUGUUGGCAUUUAGGUUCCUGAUUACUGCAAAGACCAGGAAAAAUAUUUAGAAACGUUACCAAGAGUGGGUAGCCAGCAUUUUUAUUUUU